AUUGAACGCUGGCGGCAGGCUUAACACAUGCAAGUCGAGCGGAGAUGAGGUGCUUGCACCUUAUCUUAGCGGCGGACGGGUGAGUAAUGCUUAGGAAUCUGCCUAUUAGUGGGGGACAACAUUCCGAAAGGAAUGCUAAUACCGCAUACGUCCUACGGGAGAAAGCAGGGGAUCUUCGGACCUUGCGCUAAUAGAUGAGCCUAAGUCGGAUUAGCUAGUUGGUGGGGUAAAGGCCUACCAAGGCGACGAUCUGUAGCGGGUCUGAGAGGAUGGUCCGCCACACUGGGGAUGAGGAACGGCCCAGACUCCUACGGGAGGCAGGAGUGGGGAAUAUUGGACAAUGGGGGGAACCCUGAUCCAGCCAUGCCGCGUGUGUGAAGAAGGCCUUAUGGUUGUAAAGCACUUUAAGCGAGGAGGAGGCUACUGAGACUAAUACUCUUGGAUAGUGGACGUUACUCGCAGAAUAAGCACCGGCUAACUCUGUGCCAGCCGCCGCCGUAACAC
rnacentral:rRNA from 1 species